UUUGUUUCAGGAUCCAGCAGCAGAGACCAGAGUCUCCUGAACCUGAACCUGAUCCUGAUCCUGAUCCCAGCUGUGUGUCCAUGAAGAGCGACCUGUCUAAGGGUUUACCUGUGGCCAUCAAAGAUGAUUGUCACUCUGUUGAUCAAAGAGAGGACCAGGAGAUCUCAGAAGUUCCCAGUGGUCAGUCUGCUCAGGACUCCAUAUGUAUGGUCUGUACAUGUACAACAACUGCUUUUACAUCUACAGUAUCUUGUACACAAUCAUCUGGUGCACUUUAUAGACCAGAGGAUUGUCAUUGUUAUGUUUUUUAUGUUGCACCAUAGUGUAG
rnacentral:lncRNA from 1 species